CUUACAUUUGUGCAAUUUACAGAAGGAAGAUACAUACAGUUGAUAUUCACUGUUGAUGGGAUUUUCUCUUUUUCAGAAAGAUAAUAUAUGUCAACAUACCUACUGAAUGACUGUCAGACUGAAGUAUAUUAAUUUAAAAAUGUAGGUUUCUUAUUCAUUGUAACCUGACCUUUUUGCUCAAGUAAGGCUAGUUUCAAAAACACAACCUGAAGCUUGCAAGGUGUUUCCCAAGAUAGUGGCACUGGGUUUCCUCAGAUACAAUGUUCUGCUCU
rnacentral:lncRNA from 1 species